rnacentral:rRNA from 1 species
UACGUAGGGACCAAGCGUUGUUCGGAUUUACUGGGCGUAAAGGGCGCGUAGGCGGCGAAUCAAGUCAGUUGUGAAAUCUCCGAGCUUAACUCGGAACGGUCAACUGAUACUGUUUUGCUAGAGUACAGAAGGGGCAACCGGAAUUCUUGGUGUAGCGGUGAAAUGCGUAGAUAUCAAGAGGAACACCUGAGGCGAAGGCGGGUUGCUAGGCUGACACUGACGCUGAGGCGCGAAAGCUAGGGUAGCAAACGGG